GUCUACGGCCAUACCACCCUGAACGCACCCGAUCUUGUUUGAUCUUGGAAGCUAAGCAGGGUCGGGCCUGGUUAGUACUUGGAUGGGAGAAUACUGCCGCUAGAUC
rnacentral:rRNA from 1 species